UGUGGAGGUGUAAACAAUUGUGUACAGGUGCGUACAGAUGCAUUCAGGUGUACAAAUGUGUUCAGGUGUGUACAGGUGUCCACAUGUGCAUUCAGGCUUACAGUGUGUAAAAGUGUAAGCAGGUGCGUACAGGUGUGUCUAAAUGUGUACAGAUGCAUGAAGGAAUGUACAGGUGAAUACAGACAUGAAGGUGUACAGGUGUGAACAGGUUCAUACACGUGCAUACAGAUGAAUUCAGGGGUACAAAUGUGUGUAGGUGUGUACA